GAUGAACGCUGGCGGCGUGCUUAACACAUGCAAGUCGAGCGAUGAAGUUUCCUUCGGGAAACGGAUUAGCGGCGGACGGGUGAGUAACACGUGGGUAACCUGCCUCAUAGAGUGGAAUAGCCUUUCGAAAGGAAGAUUAAUACCGCAUAAUGUUGAAAGAUGGCAUCAUCAUUCAACCAAAGGAGUAAUCCGCUAUGAGAUGGACCCGCGGCGCAUUAGCUAGUUGGUGGGGUAACGGCCUACCAAGGCGACGAUGCGUAGCCGACCUGAGAGGGUGAUCGGCCACAUUGGGACUGAGACACGGCCCAGACUCCUACGGGAGGCAGCAGUGGGGAAUAUUGCACAAUGGGGGAAACCCUGAUGCAGCAACGCCGCGUGAGUGAUGAAGGUUUUCGGAUCGUAAAGCUCUGUCUUUGGGGAAGAUAAUGACGGUACCCAAGGAGGAAGCCACGGCUAACUACGUGCCAGCCGCCGCGGUAAUAC
rnacentral:rRNA from 1 species